rnacentral:rRNA from 1 species
GACGUAGGGUGCGAGCGUUGUCCGGAUUUAUUGGGCGUAAAGAGCUCGUAGGCGGUUUGUCGCGUCUGCUGUGAAAACUGGAGGCUCAACCUCCAGCCUGCAGUGGGUACGGGCAAACUAGAGUGCGGUAGGGGAGAUUGGAAUUCCUGGUGUAGCGGUGGAAUGCGCAGAUAUCAGGAGGAACACCGAUGGCGAAGGCAGAAUCUCUGGGCCUGACCUGACGCUGAGGAGCGAAAGCGUGGGAGCGAACAGG